AGUGUCCAGCUUAUGCGCAGGCGAGGACGUGGCUGCAGCAGCUGUGGGCCUGCGUUGCGCCCCAGGCAGCGGCGCCGCCAGUGACGGACGCGGGUUUCAUGCUGGGGGACCGCAUGGGUAUGUGGGCCUCAGGCCCGCGGGGGGCGGGCGCGCUGCUGUGGAGCACUUUGCGGGCCACCUUCUUGUACGCCGUCUGGUGUGCAUACUGGUCCCGCGAGCCUGCUAAGCAGACAUCGGAGCAUGUGGUUCGGGAGGUGGUCAGCGAGCUGCGCAGGGUGAUGCAGCUGCGUUUCACUGCCGCCACGCUAACCCCUGAAACCCUGUCGGCUCUGCCCACACAGCUUCUCACCGCGCAGCUCAAGGCGGCUAAGCUGGAGCACUUUGUUGCCAUCUGGACGGCGGGUGGCGCGCUUUGUGAAGUGGAGGAGGUUCAGGGUGGGUCACCGAAGUUGAACUUGCGGCUGACGCUUGCAUCACCUGUGCAGGCCCCCUAGGUUUCCUUUUGGGCGGCGUUUCUUUCCAGGCGCUGGCGUGGUGUACUAUCGUCAUCAGCUUAUCUGGCGCCCAUGUGUUUUAGCUCUGGCUGGCGUCACAGCGCCUGGGCGGCUGUGGGCCUUCCUGCACAGCGCGUCUUGCAGCGGGCUGGAGCCCGCUUAGUCAGCGCCACAUCUGGCCCGAUUAGUCUUCUGCUUGUGUCUCCUCUGCCGGUUCUCCUGGGGUGUUGCUUAAGCAACCGACUUGUGGGGGUGGGGUGGGUUUGGGCGGGGCGAGUGCGUAGCGCUGGUGUUUUCUUUUCUGGCGCGCGGUGGUGGUGGUUCUUGCGGCUAGGCUGUGGUGUAGGUUGGUGCUUGGGUUAGGUCUGGCGGUGUUUUUGUGAAACCCCUCCCGGGGGGCGGGGGGGCCAGCCUCCUGCUCUGUCUGCCGGGUCGGGGUGGGGUGGGGUGGGGUGGGAUGGAUGGGGGUGGUUGGUGGCGGUUUUGAGGUGUUUGCUUUCUGUCUUCUUCUCUUUUCUUCUCUUCUUGCCCUGUCAGGGUUCUGGUCUCGGGGACCAGGCUGUUUUCAGGCAGCAGGGGGGCAGCGCGUCUGCCCCUGUUCAACCUUGUAAGGAUGAUUCCUCAAAAAAAAAGGGGGCCGCGGCGUUCCGCGCGGCUGCAGGAGCAGGCGGCGGGCGGGGCGGGACCUAGCACGGGGCCUGCCACGGCGGUGGCGGCAGCAGCGGCGGCAGUGGAGGGCGACCCUCGCAUGCCGCCCCCGGAUGCGUCCCUUCUGCGGGGUACGUGGCGGAGGCUGUGGGAUAGCCACGCCGGACAGCCGGUAAGACACUCAAGCCGAUUUCGUUAAGGCUUCGAGAGAUCCUGGGUUCGAAUCCCGGUCACCCCACCAGGAAGGGCCCUGGUUUACCAAAACCCAUCCACACCUUGGUGGUGUGUAGACCCCCCCUGUGGUGCAGGGAGUCUCUAGGGUACAAGGCUUUUAAAGGGGGGGUCGUCUAAAUGGUUAAGACACUCAAGCCGAUUUCGUUAAGGCCUCGAGAGAUCCUGGGUUCGAAUCCCGGUCACCCCACCAGGAAAGGCCCUGGUUUACCAAAACCCUUCCACACCUUGGUGGUGUGUAGACCCCCCCUGUGGUGCAGGGAGUCUCUGGGGUACAAGGCUGGAGCUCUGGGCCUGCAACUGGCGAGCUUUCAAGUUCAAGAUCCAAGAUUCAAGUGGAGCUCUGGGCCUGUCAACUGGAGAGCUCUAGAUGAUCUGUGUGGUCAUGGCAGUGGCUGUAGUUGUCACCUAGCUGUUGAGAACUCCAGUAGGUGUGUGGUGUCACCUGGCUGUUGAGGUUUCCAGUAGGUGUGUGGUGGAACAAAAACUUCUCUUCUCUUCUCUGAUCUCUGGCCCUAUCGAGGUUCUGUGAUAUGAUCCAGGCUGCCUUGGCAGUAGGGUGGUAGUGCGUCUACCACCGCAACCUUGUAAGGAUGACUUUUAAAAAAAAAAAGCCACGCCAGUCGGGGGGCAAAGGUGCUGGUGUACCGGCUGCAACAUGCUUACCUGCCUUGUGGGCUGUACAGGGCGGGCAAGGGAAUUCGUCCACAGGUGACCACGGGGUGCGGGGGGUUGGGGGCGCACUGUCCUCACCCCGCCUGCGGGCCACCUGGCCCGCAGGCGUGGGCCAGCCUAACGCACAUCUUCCUGGAGUGUCCAGCUUAUGCGCAGGCGAGGACGUGGCUGCAGCAGCUGUGGGCCUGCGUUGCGCCCCAGGCAGCGGCGCCGCCAGUGAUGGACGCAAGCUUCAUGCUGGGGGACCGCAUGGGUAUGUGGGCCUCAGGCCCGCGGGGGGCGGGCGCGCUGCUGUGGAGCACUUUGCGGGCCACCUUCUUGUACGCCGUCUGGUGUGCGUACUGGUCCCGCGAGCCUGCUAAGCAGACGUCGGAGCAUGUGGUUCGGGAGGUGGUCAGCGAGCUGCGCAGGGUGAUGCAGCUGCGUUUCACUGCCGCCACGCUAACCCCUGAAACCCUGUCGGCUCUGCCCACACAG
rnacentral:lncRNA from 1 species